GACGAACGCUGGCGGCGUGCCUAAUACAUGCAAGUUGAGCGCUGAAGGAUGGUACUUGUACCAACUGGAUGAGCAGCGAACGGGUGAGUAACGCGUGGGGAAUCUGCCUUUGAGCGGGGGACAACAUUUGGAAACGAAUGCUAAUACCGCAUAAAAACUUUAAACACAAGUUUUAAGUUUGAAAGAUGCAAUUGCAUCACUCAAAGAUGAUCCCGCGUUGUAUUAGCUAGUUGGUGAGGUAAAGGCUCACCAAGGCGAUGAUACAUAGCCGACCUGAGAGGGUGAUCGGCCACAUUGGGACUGAGACACGGCCCCAACUCCUACGGGAGGCAGCAGUAGGGAAUCUUCGGCAAUGGACGAAAGUCUGACCGAGCAACGCCGCGUGAGUGAAGAAGGUUUUCGGAUCGUAAAACUCUGUUGGUAGAGAAGAACGUUGGUGAGAGUGGAAAGCUCAUCAAGUGACGGUAACUACCCAGAAAGGGACGGCUAACUACGUG
rnacentral:rRNA from 1 species